rnacentral:rRNA from 1 species
AUUGAACGCUGGCGGCAUGCCUUACACAUGCAAGUCGAACGGCAGCACGGGUGCUUGCACCUGGUGGCGAGUGGCGAACGGGUGAGUAAUAUAUCGGAACGUACCUUAUUGUGGGGGAUAACGCAGCGAAAGCUGUGCUAAUACCGCAUAAUCCCUAAGGGGGAAAGCGGGGGACCGUAAGGCCUCGCGCAAUUAGAGCGGCCGAUACCUGAUUAGCUAGUUGGUGAGGUAAAGGCUCACCAAGGCAACGAUCAGUAGCUGGUCUGAGAGGACGAUCAGCCACACUGGGACUAGGACACGGCCCAGACUCCUACGGGAGGCAGCAGUGGGGAAUUUUGGACAAUGGGGGCAACCCUGAUCCAGCAAUGCCGCGUGAGUGAAGAAGGCCUUCGGGUUGUAAAGCUCUUUUGUCAGGGAAGAAACAGCAGCUCUAACACAGUUUGCGAAUGACGGUACCUGAAGAAUAAGCACCGGCUAACUACGUGCCAGCCGCCGCAGUAA